UAGCUUAGUCAGUAAAGAAUCUGCCUGCAAUGCAGGAGACCAGGGUUCGAUCCCUG
rnacentral:tRNA from 1 species